rnacentral:lncRNA from 1 species
AUUAAUUAAUACUAGCUACAAAUAACAGACCCGAAAUAAAUACUCGAGCAGGUCAAGAUGGAGGACGGUUCGGUGACCGCAUAGAGAUUUGAACCGGAAUAGGCCGACCGGUACCAGUCCCUCCGCAGCUACUACACGCCAUGCGACCCGAACCGGAACAAGCCCGGCAACCAGCAUCUCCAUCGGACCAACGGGAACAAAGACAAGCGACCCGACCCGUCCCGUUGCAAGAUGGGCACAACGGGCCGGCCAUGGGCUUCUGGUCCAUAACCGAUUU